rnacentral:rRNA from 1 species
ACGGGAGGCAGCAGUAGGGAAUCUUCCGCAAUGGACGAAAGUCUGACGGAGCAACGCCGCGUGAGUGAUGAAGGUUUUCGGAUCGUAAAACUCUGUUGUUAGGGAAGAACAAGUUGGGUAGUAACUGACCCGACCUUGACGGUACCUAACCAGAAAGCCACGGCUAACUACGUGCCAGCAGCCGCGGUAAUACGUAGGUGGCAAGCGUUGUCCGGAAUUAUUGGGCGUAAAGCGCUCGCAGGCGGUCUUUUAAGUCUGAUGUGAAAGCCCACGGCUUAACCGUGGAGGGUCAUUGGAAACUGGAGGACUUGAGUACAGAAGAGGAGAGUGGAAUUCCACGUGUAGCGGUGAAAUGCGUAGAGAUGUGGAGGAACACCAGUGGCGAAGGCGACUCUCUGGUCUGUAACUGACGCUGAGGCUCGAAAGCGUGGGGAGCAAUCAGGAUUAGAUACCCGGGUA